rnacentral:lncRNA from 1 species
ACUCAUGUAUUUUUUCGUCUGCUACGAGUGACUUGUGUAGUUCUGCGAAAUCUUAAUUUAAAAAAAAAAAAAGUGAUAGAAAAGGGGGUUAAGACCUCUUAUGAACUCAGAUACUUCAAUAUCAACAAUGAGGAAGAGGAUGAUGAUUAUGACAAGGAAUAAGUUCGUCUCCCCGUUGUUUCGUUUUUGCUGUAAAGUAAUAAACGAUGACCAUUAUAUUUGUACAAUUGUUACUGCAUUAAACUUGACACCAUUCCUUGACGCAUA